CUGCAGCCAAUGAGGCCUGCAGGUUCAUUUCCUCAUGGGGCCUAGUAUGCCAUGGAGAUAAACAGCAACCUCCUUGGUAGUGUGGGCAGCCUGGUGCGGGUCUGAGUUGCCCUAAGGGACCCUGGAGACUUUU